CUCACAGGCUCUUCUGCUUUAUUCACACCUAAUAUACAAGGAAGAGUCUCUAAAGUGAAUCUUUAUCAGAAGGACAAAGAUCUGGAAGAAAUUUGACAUUUGUGCUACGUUCAAGAUGACAAGUGAAGCAGUUCAGAUAGCCUCAAUGCAGACACCUGAAAAAGAUUCCAUGUGUCCAGGCAACGAUACUGGAGACUGCUGCCAGAAAAAAAGGAAAUACCAAAAUAAAGCAGAUGUUGUGUCCUGUACUGUUAUCUCAAGGUUUUGCAAGUCAUUCUGUUAUAUGCUU